AUUGAACGCUGGCGGCAUGCCUUACACAUGCAAGUCGAACGGCAGCACGGGUGCUUGCACCUGGUGGCGAGUGGCGAACGGGUGAGUAAUACAUCGGAACAUGUCCUGUAGUGGGGGAUAGCCCGGCGAAAGCCGGAUUAAUACCGCAUACGAUCUACGGAUGAAAGCGGGGGACCUUCAGGCCUCGCGCUAUAGGGUUGGCCGAUGGCUGAUUAGCUAGUUGGUGGGGUAAAGGCCUACCAAGGCGACGAUCAGUAGCUGGUCUGAGAGGACGACCAGCCACACUGGGACUGAGACACGGCCCAGACUCCUACGGGAGGCAGCAGUGGGGAAUUUUGGACAAAGGGCGAAAGCCUGAUCCAGCAAUGCCGCGUGUGUGAAGAAGGCCUUCGGGUUGUAAAGCACUUUUGUCCGGAAAGAAAUCCUUGGCCCUAAUACGGUCGGGGGAUGACGGUACCGGAAGAAUAAGCACCGGCUAACUACGUG
rnacentral:rRNA from 1 species